rnacentral:lncRNA from 1 species
GCUCAGCUGCUGCAGAGCCGGGCCUAGCGGCUCAGUAUGACAGACAGACCAGCAGAAGGAGAACCAGCGUGAGAAGGACAGGGGCCGCUCAGAGACCCAGCGGAGCCAUCUCAGAGGUGGAAGGGCUAACACAGGGUCCAGGUUGCUCCAUCAUGGGAUGUUCCAGAUUCAUAUUCCAGAGCAGACACCACAGCCAAGUGGCAGAAGGGUGUCAGUCACACCUGGGGGAGCAUCUCAUACCUCAUAAUCGCACGUGCUAUGUUGCCAAAAAUCUUCUAGAAGAUAAUAGUAAAGAGACCAUGCUAACAAAAC